rnacentral:tRNA from 1 species
GGCCCAUUAGCUCAGUUGGUUAGAGCAUCGUGCUAAUAACGCGAAGGUCGUGGGUUCGAUCCCCCCGUGGGCCA